GUGCUUGCUUCAGCAGCACAUACCCUAAAACUGGAACAAUACAGAGAAGAUUAGCAUGGCCCCUGCACAAGCGUGACAAGCAAGUUCGUGAAGCGUUUCAUAUUUUU
ensembl:snRNA U6 U6 spliceosomal RNA